rnacentral:rRNA from 1 species
UACAGAGGGUGCGAGCGUUAAUCGGAAUUACUGGGCGUAAAGCGCGCAUAGGCGGCUUUGCAAGUCGGGUGUGAAAUCCCCAGGCUUAACCUGGGAACUGCAUUCGAGACUGCAUUGCUAGAGUAUGGGAGAGGGAAGUGGAAUUUCCGGUGUAGCGGUGAAAUGCGUAGAUAUCGGAAGGAACAUCAGUGGCGAAAGCGACUUCCUGGACCAAUACUGACGCUCAUGUGCGAAAGCGUGGAGAGCAAACAGG